GGCGGGAGCCGCGCCUGCCGCCGCCCUGAGGGGCUGGGGCCGCGGCUGCGGCCGGAGCUGGAGCCGGAGCCGGACGGCGUCCGUCCGCGCGGCCGAGCCGAGCCCGGGAGCCGGUAGAGGCGCCAAGCGGCGGGCGCGGCCCCGCCCCCACGCGGCCCUCCCCACGUGCGGGAGAGCGGCGGAGGCUGCGGUGGCCGCGGGGCGGGGUACGGCCGGGCCGGGCCGGGCCGGGCUCACCCGUGCGAGGCGCAGAGAAGCCUGCCCGGAUCUCGGAGCGCUCCCAGCUCGCAGCCCGCAAUCUGAGCCUUUCCUCCGGCCGGCAUUUCCCUGGCAGCCGGCGGGGGCCCGGAGGAGAGGAGCGGAGCGGCCGCGGUGCCUCGCUGCGUGCAGCCGAGGAAGCGCCUCUCCAGAGUGCCCCACUCACCUGGUCGUCCCUCUCUGGAGUCAGUAGGAAAUUAAACGCACAUCCUCGCUCGUAGCCCCCGCGCGUCCUUCUGCGGGCUGCCCUCAGCUGGCCGGCGCCGCUGCGCCCAUGCUCAGGUGCCCGUGUCUCCGUGCCUGCAAGCGGCGCAGAAGCGUUAGUGCCCCGUCGGAGCAGCCGCGCUCCAUGUGUGCGCAGGAAUGCACACGUAGAUGAGCUUACACCCUGCCACGCACACCUACCGCUGCGGCUGUUUCCUGAGAGACUGCGAGAGAGAAGAAAGGCAGGAGACAUCACAUGACCGAACCUUGGGAGCAUAACAGGUAUACCUUUCAGAAGAAAUUUUCUUCAGAAAAACAGGAUCCUGUACCACUUCUCAGGAAAGAGUAUGUCAGGAUAGAAGAAGGACCAGUUCCUCAAUGCCACUGAAGAGGACCCUACAGUUAUUCUUUUCCUCUGCCUGCUGCUCAUCACCCUUGCUCUGGCAGCAGCAGAAUCACACAGUGCCAGCUGCAGUUACUGGUAACUUGAAAACAGCAUAAACAUUCAACCACCAGCAAACGUUAAAAGCCUUGUUGGUGUAUCUCAGCAUGGCUGUGGGCUGUAAAACAACAGUCUUGUGUGAUUGAUAUAUCCAGCACAUACCACACAAUCCUUCUGAGCAUCCUGUAAAAGAAGAGCAGACAAGAGCGAUACAAUUUUACAGAGACCUCUGGAUAAAUGCCUCCCUGAAUAAUUGCCAGAUGGACAAAGAGCUGGCAGGAACACUCUCCGCAGAGAACCCUGCUUGCUUUCUCCAGAGCCAGUGCUUAUCUGGAUAAUCAUUUCUGGGUGCAGUAAUGGCAUCCAGCCUGACACGUUCUCUCCCUCCUUUUCAUUUCUGCUCAUUCCACCCUGGCCCCCGAGUCAUAAUGUCUGUCUGCUUCCAUUCAUGACAGCUAGCAGGGAUGGCAGUGCUGUUCCUCCUCCUAAAUCCAGCAGGUGGACCUGCCAAGGACCUCACAGCUGUUGGAGGAAAUAAAACUCAGCAGCAACAACCAUGCCUAGCUCAUCAUAUGACCCCUUUAUGCCAAGCUUGCCAAUUUUCUGCCACCAUGGUAGAAAUGAAUCAAACAGCUAUUAGCUGUAACAAUGGCAGGGAAUCCACAGAUCUUAAAAAUAGUUCUGAGAUCCUUUAUGUCCAAACAGUCAGAUCUUUUACCAUCACCACCUCUUUAGAAAAGGCUGCAUGGCUUUUUGUUUAAGCUUUUGAAUCUCUGUUCUUCCCUCCAGCCAUGUAGUUGGAACAAAACUACUUUUUUGCUUGUGUGCCAGUCACAGUCCCUGAGAACAGUGUUUCCAAAGACAUUUAAUCAUGGUGUCCAAAGCUAUCAUCUAAACUAAACAUCUUUAAAAACCAUAUGAUCUGGACAUCAGUAGAAGGCAUUUGCCUAUCUAAUGACAACGUGUUUUCAACAUGGUGUUCCUUCAAUGUCUUCAGUGCAUAAAUAAGUAGGAGUUCAGGAGUCAUAAAAGAGUUUCCCAUGUGAUUUCUGGAAAGAGAAAAUUGCACUGAAGAUUUCUGAGGAAAGUUACAUUUCAGUUCUAGUAUUUGAUUGGUACUAAAAUCAGUCAUCUUAUCUUUGUAAUUAAUGAAAAGCUGGCUCCAAAAGAAAUAUAAAGAAAUAAAAUAUAUUUUUGCAAAACAAAUUUCUGACCAUUCUUGAGUUCUACUUUACUGAUAUUUUUAAAAAAUAUUCUAUCUAUUCCACAAUGUAAGUGCACCUGUUGACUUUGCUGUUCCUGAGGUUUGUCAUUUCUAGAGCUCUAGUUGUUCUACAUCAUAGCUUCCUUUGCUACACCUAAUUAAUUUGUAACUUUUAUGAUGUCUGGAUAUUAAUCCUAUCAAUAAAUAAUGAAUAGAAAAAUC